AGUGAACGCUGGCGGUAGGCCUAACACAUGCAAGUCGAACGGCAGCACAGUAAGAGCUUGCUCUUACGGGUGGCGAGUGGCGGACGGGUGAGGAAUACAUCGGAAUCUACUUUUUCGUGGGGGAUAACGUAGGGAAACUUACGCUAAUACCGCAUACGACCUACGGGUGAAAGCAGGGGAUCUUCGGACCUUGCGCGAUUGAAUGAGCCGAUGUCGGAUUAGCUAGUUGGCGGGGUAAAGGCCCACCAAGGCGACGAUCCGUAGCUGGUCUGAGAGGAUGAUCGGCCACACUGGGACUGAGACACGGUCCAGACUCCUACGGGAGGCAGCAGUGGGGAAUAUUGGACAAUGGGCGCAAGCCUGAUCCAGCCAUACCGCGUAGGUGAAGAAGGCCUUCGGGUUGUAAAGCCCUUUUGUUGGGAAAGAAAAGCAGCAGGUUAAUACCCCGCUGUUCUGACGGUACCCAAAGAAUAAGCACCGGCUAACUUCGUG
rnacentral:rRNA from 1 species